rnacentral:rRNA from 1 species
CCAGACUCCUACGGGAGGCAGCAGUGAGGAAUAUUGGUCAAUGGUCGGGAGACUGAACCAGCCAAGCCGCGUGAGGGAUGAAGGUACAGAGUAUCGUAAACCUCUUUUGUCAGGGAACAAAGGCGGGGACGCGUCCCCGGAUGAGUGUACCUGAAGAAAAAGCAUCGGCUAACUCCGUGCCAGCAGCCGCGGUAAUACGGAGGAUGCGAGCGUUAUCCGGAUUUAUUGGGUUUAAAGGGUGCGCAGGCGGAGGUGCAAGUCAGUGGUCAAAUUGCGGGGCUCAACCCCGUCGUGCCGUUGAAACUGGCGUUCUUGAGUGAGCGAGAAGUAUGCGGAAUGCGUGGUGUAGCGGUGAAAUGCAUAGAUAUCACGCAGAACUCCGAUUGCGAAGGCAGCAUACCGGCGCCCGACUGACGCUGAAGCACGAAAGCGUGGGUAUCGAACAGGAUUAGAUACCCGUGUA